GCCAAUUGGACAUGUUGCUUUUGCAGCUGUGCAAGGAAUAUAACACAGCAAAAUACUUUCAUCACAGUGCCUGGGAAUAUUCCCACAACUUCCCUGCUGGCAAAUCAAGAGAUGGGCAUUAGAUAAGACUGCAGAAGAGAAGUAGACACCCCAGUCAAGUUUAGCUUAGGCUCAGGCAAGCCCCUGACAGUUCAGGUGUUUAUCUGGAACUUUGCAUUCUCUGCACGUGUGGAUUCUGAGAAACCGGCCAGGGAUUUGGGAUUAUAUUUUAAGACGGUCUUUGUUGCUGUCAAUAUCGUCGCGAAACACCACGUAUCGUGCAUCCGCCACACACCCCAGCGAAGAACCACCAGAUGUGUUUCGCCUUUAUUUUCUAUUUUUACUACUGGGAAUUGGAUCUUUUUCCUAUUCUAUUUUCAAACUAGUUGUUUUUAUUCUACAGGACUGCCAUAAUGAGUCCCAUAAGCUGGAUGGCUCUAACACGGUGUUUCAGAGGCGGCAAGCCCGGGGUGAAGGUGUUGGCAGGGUUGGUUCCCUCUGUGGACGGGGAGGGAGGGUCUGCUCCAGGCCUCUCUCCAGCGUCUGCUGGUGGCCGGGUCGUGGGCAUCUCUUGGCUCGCAGAAGCAUCGCCCCUGUCUCUGCCUUUAUCUUCAGGUGGUGCUCUCCCUGUGUGUCUCUGUGUCCAAAUUUCCCCUUUGUAUAAGAACACCCAUCAUACUGGAUCAAGGCCACUUUCAAAAUCUCAUUUUUAAUGGAUCAUUCACAAAGACACUAUUUCCCCAUAAAGUUGCAUUCUGAGGUAUGGGUUGAGGAUUUCAACAUGUGAAUCUGGGGGUGAUGUAUUCCAGCCCAUACUACUUUCCAGUGUUCAUAACUCUAAUUUGUUUUCUUAUUUCAUUGCUUUGUCUUGGACAUUAAGAAUAAUUGUUAAUGACAUUUGCUACAGCAACUAUCUGUGUAUCCCCUUGGAGAGUGAUGGGCCUACCUCACCUUAAAGGGUGGUAUUAGAUAUAGCUUGAGAGAGACCUAUUCCAUACAUGAGAUUUCUAGUUUAUUCAGAGGCUUUUCUUUUCAUUUUAAUCAGGAAUGGAUUUUUUAAACCAAUGUGUUUUCAAUAUUUACUGAGUUUAUGAUUUAUAUUUUGUCAUAGAUUGAACUGUAUUAACACAUAACCUAAAAUAAAAACA
rnacentral:lncRNA from 10 species